rnacentral:rRNA from 1 species
UGGGGAAUCUUGCGCAAUGGGCGAAAGCCUGACGCAGCCAUGCCGCGUGAAUGAUGAAGGUCUUAGGAUUGUAAAAUUCUUUUACCAGGGACGCGGUACCUGGAGAAAAAGCUCCGGCUAACUUCGUGCCAGCAGCCGCGGUAAUACGAAGGGGGCUAGCGUUGCUCGGAAUUACUGGGCGUAAAGGGAGCGUAGGCGGGUUGUCAAGUUGGAGGUGAAAGCCCAGGGCUCAACCUUGGAAUAGCCUUCAAAACUGACAACCUGGAGUAUGGAAGAGGUAAGUGGAACUCCGAGUGUAGAGGUGAAAUUCGUAGAUAUUCGGAAGAACACCAGUGGCGAAGGCGACUUACUGGUCCAUGACUGACGCUGAGGCUCGAAAGCGUGGGGAGCAAACAGGAUUAGAUACCCCUGUAGU